rnacentral:rRNA from 1 species
AGGACGAACGCUGGCGGCGUGCUUAACACAUGCAAGUCGAGCGGUAAGGCCUUUCGGGGUACACGAGCGGCGAACGGGUGAGUAACACGUGGGUGAUCUGCCCUGCACUUCGGGAUAAGCCUGGGAAACUGGGUCUAAUACCGGAUAUGACCUCCGAUCGCAUGGUUGGUGGUGGAAAGAUUUAUCGGUGCAGGAUGGGCCCGCGGCCUAUCAGCUUGUUGGUGGGGUAAUGGCCUACCAAGGCGACGACGGGUAGCCGACCUGAGAGGGUGACCGGCCACACUGGGACUGAGACACGGCCCAGACUCCUACGGGAGGCAGCAGUGGGGAAUAUUGCACAAUGGGCGAAAGCCUGAUGCAGCGACGCCGCGUGAGGAUGGACGGCCUUCGGGUUCGUAAACCUCUUUCAGCGAGGACGAAGCGCGAAGUGACGGUACCGUGACGAGAAGAAGCGAACCGGCUAACCGUACGUACGACCAGCAACGCCGGAC